UACGUAGGGGGCAAGCGUUGUCCGGAUUUAUUGGGCGUAAAGAGCGUGUAGGCGGCCUGACAGGUCUGCUGUGAAAACUCGAGGCUCAACCUCGAGAUGUCGGCGGAAACCGUCUGGCUAGAGUCCGGAAGAGGAGAGUGGAAUUCCUGGUGUAGCGGUGAAAUGCGCAGAUAUCAGGAAGAACACCUAUGGCGAAGGCAGCUCUCUGGGACGGUACUGACGCUGAGACGCGAAAGCGUGGGGAGCAAACGG
rnacentral:rRNA from 1 species